UGUGGUGAGAGAGAGUUACCUGCAGGUAAUGCUGAAGCCUACAGUAUGAUCAGCUCUGAACCUGGUGCUGACUGUCCUACUGGUUCUGAAAAACCAAAAGGGGGGGAGCUUAAAAAUGAGGAUGACACAUACCAUAUGUACUCCAUCAUCUCUGAGGAGCAAACUGCAUCAGCACCGAAGAAUAUGGUGUACAGCACCAUACAGGCACAU